UAGCCCAUGCUGUAAACGAUGAAUACUCGAUGUUGGCGAUAUACUGUCAGCGUUCAAGCGAAAGCAUUAAGUAUUCCACCUGGGGAGUACGAUCGCAAGGUUGAAACUCAAAGGAAUUGACGGGGGCCCGCACAAGCGGUGGAGCAUGUGGUUUAAUUCGAUGGUACGCGAGGAACCUUACCUGGGCUUAAAUGGUAUUGGACCGUUGCCGAAAGGUGACUUUCUUUAUGACUGAUAUCAAGGUGCUGCAUGGCUGUCGUCAGCUCGUGCCGUGAGGUGUUGGGUUAAGUCCCGCAACGAGCGCGACCCCUAUCUUUAGUUGCCAUCAGGUUAUGCUGGGGACUCUAAAGAGACUGCCUACGUAAGUAGUGAGGAAGGUGGGGACGACGUCAAGUCAUCAUGGCCCUUACGUCCAGGGCUACACACGUGCUACAAUGGCAGGGACAAUGAGCAGCCACUUGGCAACAAGGAGCAAAUCUCAAAAACCCUGUACUCAGUUCGG
rnacentral:rRNA from 1 species